rnacentral:lncRNA from 1 species
CCCGGUUCUAAUUAGUGCCUCUGCACUGGGAUGGGAUGUUCCCUCACACCUACCAUGCAGACCAGCUUCCAUGUGCUGUGUCUCAGGUCUGUCACAGUGACAGUAUCUUGUACAUCUGACCUUCACGUGUCUGUGGCCUUCAAGUCCAACUUUAAAUUUUGUUGUUGAGGGCUCAACAUCCCCAAGCAGUGGCAUUCUCUCACUUAUUCUUUCUCCCUCUCUUUUCUUUCAGACUGUGGCAUCACCUCAGCAUCCUAUCACCAAGGGGUCCUGUCUGCCACCAUCCUCUAUGAGAUCCUCCUGGGGAAGGCCACGCUGUAUGCUGUGCUGGUCAGUGCCCUGGUGCUGAUGGCCAUGGCCAAGAAAAAAAAUUCCUGAGACCAACUCUUGUGCAUCCUGGGUUGUUCUCCAUCCUAACCCUGGAUUCUCCUGCAGCUUCUUCUCAAUCCCUGUUCCUAAGGAGCUAUUCUCUAUCCAAAGCAUCCACUCUUCCUCCAUGGAUAUCUGUCCUUCCUCGCCACUUCAGUGGACUGACCUCCCGACUCUGAAACAGACUAAGUCAAUAAAAAUGUUCA